AUGUGUGUCCAAGAAGAGGACAGACUCAAAGCCUCACAUGGUGGUACACUCAACUAUGUGAAGGGUCACAAGAAAAAGAAUUACAAUCAAAACAACAAAAGUUCUCCUUCAAAGCCACAAGGAAAAGCUCCCUAUCAACAUCAGCGUCAGCAACAACCUUUCCCAGUGGACAAAGACACUUGUCUCCACUGUAAGCAGACCGGGCAUUACAAGAAAGACUGCCCUGUUUGGCUGAAGUCCUUAAUGGCAAAGCAAGGGAUUCCAUUCGACCCGGACUACGCUAAGAAGAGAAAGAGGCAUUGA
rnacentral:rRNA from 1 species